rnacentral:rRNA from 1 species
GAUUGAACGCUGGCGGCAUGCUUUACACAUGCAAGUCGAACGGCAGCGGGUCCUUCGGGAUGCCGGCGAGUGGCGAACGGGUGAGUAAUGCAUCGGAACGUACCUGGUCGUGGGGGAUAACACAGCGAAAGUUGUGCUAAUACCGCAUGAGACCUGAGGGUGAAAGCGGGGGCUCGCAAGACCUCGCGCGACUGGAGCGGCCGAUGUCAGAUUAGCUAGUUGGUAGGGUAAAGGCCUACCAAGGCGACGAUCUGUAGCGGGUCUGAGAGGAUGAUCCGCCACACUGGGACUGAGACACGGCCCAGACUCCUACGGGAGGCAGCAGUGGGGAAUUUUGGACAGUGGGCGCAAGCCUGAUCCAGCCAUGCCGCGUGAGUGAAGAAGGCCUUCGGGUUGUAAAGCUCUUUCAGCCGGGAAGAAAUCGCACGGGCCAAUACCCUGUGCGGAUGACGGUACCGGAACAAGAAGCACCGGCCAACUACGUGCCAGCAGCCGCGGUAAUACGUAGGGUGCGAGCGUUAAUCGGAAUUACUGGGCGUAAAGCGUGCGCAGGCGGAUGCUUAAGUCAGAUGUGAAAUCCC